rnacentral:rRNA from 1 species
UACGUAGGGUGCGAGCGUUGUCCGGAUUUAUUGGGCGUAAAGCGCACGUAGGCGGCUUAGCAAGUCGGAUGUGAAAGCCCUCGGCUCAACCAAGGAAGUGCAUCCGAAACUGCUGAGCUUGAGUACUUAAGAGGAUCGCGGAAUUCCCGGUGUAGAGGUGAAAUUCGUAGAUAUCGGGAGGAACACCAGUGGCGAAGGCGGCGAUCUGGGAAGAUACUGACGCUGAGGUGCGAAAGCGUGGGGAGCAAACAGG